AUUGAACGCUGGCGGCAGGCCUAACACAUGCAAGUCGAGCGAGCGGCGGACGGGUGAGUAAUGUAUGGGGACUGCCCGAUAGAGGGGGAUAACUACUGGAAACGGUAGCUAAUACCGCAUACUAUCGGAUAACCCAUAUGGGAUUAGCUAUUAGGUGAGGUAAUGGCUCACCUAGGCGACGAGCCCUAGCUGGUCUGAGAGGAUGAUCAGCCACCCUGUGACGGAGACACUGCCCAGACGCCGACGGAGGCAGCAGUGGGGAAUAUUGCACAAGGGGCGCAAGCCUGAUGCAGCCAUGCCGCGUGUAUGAAGAAGGCCCUAGGGUUGUAAAGUACUUGCAGUCGGGAGGCGUUACCGACAGAAGAAGCACCGGCUAACUCCGUGCCAGCAGCCGCGGUAAUUC
rnacentral:rRNA from 1 species